rnacentral:misc_RNA from 1 species
GAUGAAGAACGCAGCGAAAUGCGAUAAGUAAUGUGAAUUGCAGAAUUCAGUGAAUCAUCGAAUCUUUGAACGCAUCUUGCGCUCCUUGGUAUUCUGAGGAGCAUGCCUGUUUGAGUGUCAUUAAAUUCUCAACUACACUGACUUUGAAUUGGUGUGGCUUGGAUUUGGGGGGAAAAUUGUUGUGGGCUUUUUGUAUAGUCUGCUCCCCUGAAAUUGAUUAGCGGUACCUUUGUGGAACUGUCUACAGGUGUGAUAAUUAUAUACAUCUUAGACAUCUGCUGGAAUGCUGCUUUCUAAACCUUACUUGUAUUGACAAUCUUGACCUCAAAUCAGGUAGGACUACCCGCUGAACUUAAGCAUAUCAAUAAGCGGAGA